CCGGUGACCUUUCUGUCCUAACGUUCGUCGUCUCGAAUCCCGGUGGUGCCGAAUUGACCGGCCUCGCUGUUUCCAUCGACGGUGUUGACGCAGGAGAUUUUCACCUCUCUGUCCCGCCCGCGCCUGCGGUGGCACCCGGCGGUUUCACGACUUUCUCCGUGAGCAGCGAUGCAGGGAACUCUGGUGGAAAAUCCCUGACAAUUCAUCUCGCCAGCAAUUCC
rnacentral:misc_RNA from 1 species